rnacentral:rRNA from 1 species
GUUGUCCGGAAUUAUUGGGCGUAAAGAGCUCGUAGGUGGUUUGUCGCGUUGUUCGUGAAAACUCACAGCUCAACUGUGGGCGUGCGGGCGAUACGGGCAGACUGGAGUACUGCAGGGGAGACUGGAAUUCCUGGUGUAGCGGUGGAAUGCGCAGAUAUCAGGAGGAACACCGAUGGCGAAGGCAGGUCACUGGGCAUGUUCUGACGCUGAGGAGCGAAAGCGUGGGGAGCGAACAGG